rnacentral:tRNA from 1 species
GGGGCUUAGGAUAAUGUAGACCAAGGACCUUCAAAGCCCUAAGUAGGAGUUAAAAUCUCCUAGCCCCUG